AUCUAGUAUAUUGAUAUCCAUGUUUAAUGUUUAUAUUCAUAUAAUUAUAUCAUGUUAUUCUUUUUUCACACACAUUAUGCCUAGCAUAUGUAAAGAACCACAUCAUGUUCAUACUGUAUUCAUCAGUGAUUAGUCACACCAUAUACAUAAUCAUAUCACAGUCACAUUCCUCUCAUAACGCAUCAUAUUCAUAUAUUCACAUCACGAAUAUUCAUAUAUAAUAAUACAUGUGUAACACAGGCUAUUUUAUGAACUAUAUUAUUGGCUGUUAUAAUGCCUGACAAACCCUCAUCAUUUAAUACAGCCGUAAUGGGUUUUGUACCUGCUGACUGUACUGACUGUCUCACUGUGCUGAACAUGUUAUCAUGCAGCAGCUGCUUAACUCCUUUGUUUGUGGCACGCAGCGCACGCCUCCUCGUCUUGUGGGAAGGAAAACACCAUCACUCUGGGUCCAGUUUUGAAGAUUCCCUCCCAGUAAGGCACACAGCACUUGUAUGGCAGUAUUGUUAUCUGGCACUGCCGACACUUCCUGAACGCCUACAACAGCACGCUUGGGGACAGUCGACAGGUGUUCGCCGUGCCCUGCUACACUAUGCACAUUGGGAACCUCAAGCUGUGCAAGCCUAAGUGUGAGUUACCCGAGGGUUUGGAUUGACUUCAACCUGGGCACCUCCUCCAUCCUCAUCCUGUGCCAGGUGGAGAGCACGCCCCAGCCCUCCCACCCGGUACUGCCAGAAGAAGACAAGGAGGAGGAGGAGGAGGUGGAAGAGGAAUCAUUUGGUGAGUGUUAAUUUUGUUCUGUUGUUUCUUCCUCCUCUCUCAAUCCUUUUCCUCUUCUCUGAUUCAUUUGCAUUCUACAAUUGUUCCUUCUCUCUCUAUUCUGCUAAAGUCUUCUUCUUCCAUUCCAAGGUCAUGCUCCAACUCCUGCUGUCCCCUCAGAGUAUUCAUUUCCCUCAGGUCAUCUCAUGAGGGACAUUAAGUGACGGCCACACACUUUUCCACAAAUGUUUACACUUCUGAGGUGAUAGGAGGGGACAUUUCAAGGGGUUCAUUUUCAGCAUUUAUAGUCACUGUAGAGUUUUGAGAUUUUUGGAGGAUCAUGAACAAGAAUCUAACUCCUUACACACCAAAAAUUAGCUUCAUAAACCUUUGCAGUCAUUCUUAAUGUUUGCCUCAAAUUUUGUGUGUUGUGUGGCCUGGCCUGACAUCUGGCCCUGGGGCGAGACUCUCAAAGCUGUUAGGAGCCACACCCAGCCACAAGCAUGCAAUGCCUUCACUGUUAGGAGCUUGCAAGCCACACCCACCCACAAACACACAAUGCCUUCACUGCUGCAAUUCUCAGAGAUACAUGAUCGUUACCUAAGUUGAGUGGGUCGGGUGCAGCCUUACCUUGCUGUACAUGAAAUGCAUUAUAAUUACCUAGUGUUCCCAACAUGAAAAUAGGAAGGACAUGUUUUCAACAAGUAAAUCUAUCUGUUACAGUGAACAGCAGAGAGAGAGAGAGAGAGAGAGAGAGAGAGGUGUAACAAUUGG